CAAGGAGUAGUUUAAGACUAGAAUGCCAGCUUUGGGAGUUAGUGGUGAGGGUUAAAGUCCUUCCUCUUUGA
rnacentral:tRNA from 1 species